rnacentral:rRNA from 1 species
GUGGAUUAGAUACCCUGGUAGUCCACGCCGUAAACUAUGGGUGCUAGCCGUCGGUCGGCAUGCCGGUCGGUGGCGCAGCCAACGCAUUAAGCACCCCGCCUGGGGAGUACGGUCGCAAGAUUAAAACUCAAAGGAAUUGACGGGGGCCCGCACAAGCGGUGGAGCAUGUGGUUUAAUUCGAGGCAACGCGAAGAACCUUACCAGCCCUUGACUUCCCGAUCGGGGCUCCGGAGACGGAGCUCUUCAAUUGGUCGGUGACAGGUGCUGCAUGGUCGUCGCCAACU